rnacentral:rRNA from 1 species
GAUGAACGCUAGCGGCAGGCCUAAUACAUGCAAGUCGAACGGCGUCUUCGGACAUAGUGGCGCACGGGUGCGUAACACGUAUGCAACCUACCUUACAUUGGGGGAUAGCCUUUCGAAAGGGAGAUUAAUACCGCAUAAGACAGUAGCUGGGCAUCCAGCAGCUGUUAAAGAUUUAUCGAUGUAAGCUGGGCAUGCGUCCAAUUAGCUAGUUGGUGAGGUAACGGCUCACCAAGGCAAUGAUUGGUAGGGGAACUGAGAGGUCAAUCCCCCACACUGGCACUGAGAUACGGGCCAGACUCCUACGGGAGGCAGCAGUAGGGAAUAUUGGGCAAUGGACGCAAGUCUGACCCAGCCAUGCCGCGUGCAGGAUGAAGGCGAUAUGCGUUGUAAACUGCUUUUAUACAGGAAGAAACGACUCUUGCGAGAGGCAUUGACGGUACUGUAUGAGUAAGCACCGGCUAACUCCGUGCCAGCCGCCGCAGUAAAAC